rnacentral:rRNA from 1 species
AAAUUUUUUAUGGUUUAAUAAUUUUAUUAUAAAUUUAUUUUACAUAUAAAUUUUAGUGUUAAUUUUUAAUUAUUUUAAUAAUAAUUAAUUAAAGUUGUAGUAAUUAAUAUUAAAAAUUUAAGAAAUUAAGAUUUAGUAAUAUUUUAAAUUAAUAACAAAUUUUGUGCCAGCAGUUGCGGUUAAACAAAAAUUAAAUUAAAUUUUAUUAGUAAUUAAUAAAUAAUAUAAAAUUAUAAUUAAUUAAAUUUUAAAUUAUUAAGUGAAAUUUUAAUUUAAUUAAAAUUAAUUUGAAUUUUAUAAUUUAAUAAAUUUUAUUAAUAAACUAGGAUUAGAUACCCUAUUAUUAAAAACUUAAAUUAAUAAUACUUAAAUAGUAUAUAAUUAUUUAUUGAAACUUAAAUAAUUUGGCGGUAUUUUAGUUCAUUUAGAGGAAUCUGUUUAAUAAUUGAUAAUCCACGAAUAAAUUUACUUAAUUUAAUAUUUUGUAUAUCGUUGUUAUAAAAAUAUUUUAAAAUAAUAAAUAAUAUUUAAAAAUUUAAAAAAAAAAUUAAAUCAGAUCAAGAUGCAGAUUAUAAUUAAGAAUAUAAUGGAUUACAAUAAAUUUAUUUAUUAACUGAUAUUAUUUUGUAAUAAAUAAUUAAAGGUGGAUUUAAAUGUAAUUUUAUUUAAUUUAUUAAAAUGAUUAAAAAUUAAAGUAUGUACAUAUUGCCCGUCGCUUUCAUAAAUAAAUUGGAAUAAGUCGUAACAAAGUAGAGGUACUGGAAAGUGUUUCUAGAAAUAU